UUCCAAGAGUUUCAUUCAGUUUACUUUUCCAUACCUCUUUAGCUCAACUCAAGACUUUGCAGAAUAGAAAGAAGUAUCACAGCAGCGUAUCACCCUCAGACAAAUGGCCUAGACGAAAAGACAAAUGACAACAUAAAAAGAGCCCUGAGAAAAUUAGUCAACAGUCAACAGAAUGACUGGGAUGUGUAUCUGGAUGCUACACUGUUUUCUUUGAGGUCCGAGGUCCACACCACAACCAAAUACACACCAUUCCGUUUCAUGUAUGGGAGAGAAGCUACAUAUCCUUCUGAAGUUCCUGUUGAAGUCCCA